rnacentral:rRNA from 1 species
UACAGAGGUGGCAAGCGUUGUUCGGAAUUACUGGGCGUAAAGGGCGCGUAGGCGGCCUUCUAAGUCAGACGUGAAAUCCCCCGGCUUAACCUGGGAACUGCGUCUGAUACUGGGAGGCUUGAGUAUGGGAGAGGGAUGUAGAAUUCCAGGUGUAGCGGUGAAAUGCGUAGAUAUCUGGAGGAAUACCGGUGGCGAAGGCGGCAUCCUGGACCAUUACUGACGCUGAGGAGCGAAAGCGUGGGGAGCGAACAGG